CCCUUAGACACUCUAGGCGGCACGCGCGCUACAAUGGGUGGAAGACCGUGUUACUGCCUUCGAAAGAAGGGGUGAAUCACGAAUUCUUACCCGUGAAUGGGAUAGUUUGUUGCAAUUUUCGGACUUGAACUAGGAAUCCCUUGUAAGCAUGCUCAAGAAUAGCGUGUUGAUUACGUCCCUGCCCUUUGUACACACCGCCCGUCGCUCCUACCGAUUGAAUGAUCCGAUGAAUAUCAUGGAUUGAGGAUGCAAGUAGGUUAGCCUAUCUUCAUCUUCGAGAAGUGAAGUAAAUCUUAUCAUUUAGAGGAAGGAGAAGUCGUAACA
rnacentral:rRNA from 1 species